GAGGCUUGAUGAUACAACACAUAAACACAAAUCCUGACAGCUCCGUGAUUUCAUUAUAAUAUCUGUAAACAGCACAUAAACAAGCCGAACCGUAAAGUGCAGGAACACAGUGACAAUACAGUGACCUGCUUGCUAUCGCUGAAACACAAAGACAGUUUGAAGGCCUUAACCUUGACCUCAGGUUAUCGUUAGACAGAAUGAAGUGAAGGACCCUUCAUGCACCAGACGGCAGGAGGGAUUCAUUAACUCACCUCGACUUCAACAGCAUGCUUGCUAUCGCUGAAACACAAAGACAGUUUGAAGGCCAUAACCUUGACCUCAGGUUAUCGUUAGACAGAAUGAAGUGAAGGACCCUUCAUGCACCAGACGGCAGGAGGGAUUCAUUAACUGACCUCGACUUCAACAGCAUGCUUGCUAUCGCUGAAACACAAAGACAGUUUGAAGGCCAUAACCUUGACCUCAGGUUAUCAUUAGACAGAAUGAAGUGAAGGACCCUUCAUGCACCAGACGGCAGGAGGGAUUCAUUAACUCACCUCGACUUCAACAGCAUGCUUGCUAUCGCUGAAACACAAAGACAGUUUGAAGGCCAUAACCUUGACCUCAGGUUAUCAUUAGACAGAAUGAAGUGAAGGACCCUUCAUGCACCAGACGGCAGGAGGGAUUCAUUAACUCACCUCGACUUCAACAGCAUGCUUGCUAUCGCUGAAACUGAGACAGUUUGAAGACCAUAACCUUGACCUCAGGUUAUCGUUAGACAGAAUGAAGUGAAGGACCCUUCAUGCACCAGACGGCAGGAGGGAUUCAUUAACUCACCUCGACUUCAACAGCAUGCUUGCUAUCGCUGAAACACAAAGACAGUUUGAAGGCCAUAACCUUGACCUCAGGUUAUCAUUAGACAGAAUGAAGUGAAGGACCCUUCAUGCACCAGACGGCAGGAGGGAUUCAUUAACUCACCUCGACUUCAACAGCAUGCUUGCUAUCGCUGAAACACAAAGACAGUUUGAAGGCCAUAACCUUGACCUCAGGUUAUCAUUAGACAGAAUGAAGUGAAGGACCCUUCAUACACCAGACGGCAGGAGGGAUUCAUUAACUCAC